rnacentral:rRNA from 1 species
UACGUAGGGGGCGAGCGUUGUCCGGAAUCAUUGGGCGUAAAGCGCGUGUAGGCGGCCCGGUAAGUCCGCUGUGAAAGUCCAGGGCUCAACCCUGGGAUGCCGGUGGAUACUGUCGGGCUCGAGUCCGGAAGAGGCGAGUGGAAUUCCUGGUGUAGCGGUGAAAUACGCAGAUAUCAGGAGGAACACCAAUGGCGAAGGCAGCUCGCUGGGACGUGACUGACGCUGAGGCGCGAAAGCUAGGGGAGCAAACAGG